rfam:Entomoplasmatales bacterium EntAcro10 contig_1, whole genome shotgun sequence.
UUUAAACUAGAAAAUAAGCCUAAGACAGCAACGGACACAAGUCUUAAUUAUGUUGCCCAGGUAAAUUCCAUGUUUUCUUUAUGUGGUAAUUAAUACUCGGGUUCUCUCGAGUUUUUACAUUGCUUA